UGAGGCCCUGGUGGGUGGGGCCCUGGUGGGCUUGAAUGCUCUUUGACCCAGUAACGCUGCACCGGCUCUUUAUGAGGUUUCCAGGCCAAGGAUGACACGUGCUGGGAGUGCCCGGGACAGGGAGCCCUCCAGCCAGGCUGAGUGAGCGUGUGCGGUCCAGCAGA